UACGGAGGAUGCAAGCGUUAUCCGGAAUUAUUGGGCGUAAAGCGUCCGCAGGUGGCUCGUCAAGUCUGCUGUCAAAGCGUGGAGCUUAACUCCAUACAGGCAGUGGAAACUGGGGAGCUAGAGUUCGGUAGGGGUAGCGGGAAUUCCCAGUGUAGCGGUGAAAUGCGUAGAUAUUGGGAAGAACACCGGCGGCGAAAGCGCGCUACUGGGCCGAGACUGACACUGAGGGACGAAAGCUAGGGGAGCGAAAGGG
rnacentral:rRNA from 1 species